rnacentral:rRNA from 1 species
AACGAACGCUGGCGGCGGGCCUAACACAUGCAAGUCGAGCGAGGACUUCGGUCCUAGCGGCGGACGGGUGAGUAACGCGUGGGAACGUGCCCUUUGCUUCGGAAUAGCCCUGGGAAACUGGGAGUAAUACCGGAUGAGCCCUUUGGGGGAAAGAUUUAUCGGCGAAGGAUCGGCCCGCGUUGGAUUAGGUAGUUGGUGGGGUAAUGGCCUACCAAGCCGACGAUCCAUAGCUGGUUUGAGAGGAUGAUCAGCCACACUGGGACUGAGACACGGCCCAGACUCCUACGGGAGGCAGCAGUGGGGAAUCUUAGACAAUGGGGGAAACCCUGAUCUAGCCAUGCCGCGUGAGCGAUGAAGGCCUCAGGGUUGUAAAGCUCUUUCAGCUGGGAAGAUAAUGACGGUACCAGCAGAAGAAGCCCCGGCUAACUCCGUG